rnacentral:rRNA from 1 species
GAUGAACGCUGGCGGCGUGCUUAACACAUGCAAGUCGAACGAUGAAGCCCAGCUUGCUGGGUGGAUUAGUGGCGAACGGGUGAGUAACACGUGAGUAACCUGCCCUUGACUCUGGGAUAAGCCUGGGAAACUGGGUCUAAUACUGGAUAUGACUUCUCAUCGCAUGGUGGGGGGUGGAAAGAUUUAUUGGUCUUGGAUGGACUCGCGGCCUAUCAGCUUGUUGGUGAGGUAAUGGCUCACCAAGGCGACGACGGGUAGCCGGCCUGAGAGGGUGACCGGCAACACGGGGACGGAGAGAGGGCCCAGACUCCAGCGGGGGGAGGCAGGCGAAAAUAUGGACCAGUGGGCCCAGCCCUGAUGCGGCGACCGCGGGAGAGGGAGGGCGGCUUUCGUGUUAUAACCCUGUUUCGGAGGGAAAAAAGGGGGAGUGAGGGUCCCUAAAAAGGAGGCGCCGGCUAACUACGUG